rnacentral:lncRNA from 1 species
GGCGCGUUAAGCAUCACUGGUCCACGCGCUGCCUACAGUCUCCUUGCAGUCGAAGGGAGGAGAGCGAGACAAUACGCAGCACCUCCAUACAUGUAGUGAUGCAACUGUUGUAUUAAGGUUUCAUAUAUUGUAUAUUUCUAGAAUUCUUUCAUCUGAGAGGGAAGAGAACCCUUAGACACUCGGGACAGGUCGGUCGGCGCUUCUACGGCAGCAAAGAAUUCAAGAGCUGAAGACUGACUGUAGCAGAGUUGUAGGGCUACCGUAAAGCGAGCACUCGACGGUUUCAUUAGAUGCGUUUGCAGAGAAGUAAAGCAUGACAACAUACUCCGCGGGGUAAAACGACGACAUUAUGUUUUGACCAUCGACACUUUGACCUGUGAGAGAGAGGAGAGUCCUAUAAUGGCCCAUAGGAUAAGCAGUAAAAAAACAACUGAGGAGCAUCUGUUUGUGGAUCCAGUCCAUGUCAACCUUCAGAGCAACCAGACAUCUUCCCACUAACACAUCUGACUUCUGCUGAAAGGACAGACAGCAAGAACCAAUGCCUGUGUGCUCACAUUCCAGAUCAGGGAGAAGGAGGAAGUAGCCUUGAGAAGAACAUCACAGCCGAUUGAAGUGGAGCAAGAGCACCUAUCCCAGCUGCCCAAGCUGUGCAUAGCGUCAAAAAGAGCUCACACUAAGCAGCCCUUUCACAAUAACUUUUAACUCAGAUUUAACUCAGCUCAACACCACCACCAGUUUACGUGAUGGAGGUAAUGGUUGCUUGAGCAGUUGUUAAAUAAUCUUGAGCAUCUGGAAUGUGGUGAUCACUGGUCGAUAAAGUAAUUUGUCUUUGGUGAUUGCAUGCAAUUUUUU